rnacentral:rRNA from 1 species
UACGUAGGGGGCAAGCGUUGUCCGGAUUUAUUGGGCGUAAAGAGCGUGUAGGCGGUUAGGUAGGUCCGUUGUGAAAACUCGAGGCUCAACCUCGAGACGCCGAUGGAAACCAUCUGACUAGAGUCCGGAAGAGGAGAGUGGAAUUCCUGGUGUAGCGGUGAAAUGCGCAGAUAUCAGGAAGAACACCAACGGCGAAGGCAGCUCGCUAGGACGGUACUGACGCUGAGACGCGAAAGCGUGGGGAGCGAACAGG